GUCAUAUCCAUAUGAUGCAAAGUUCCCCAGUUAGGGAUCGAACCCCUACCACAGCAGUGACAACACCAGAAGGCCACCAGGGAACUCAAAGUACUCUUAUAAAUAGUUGUUUAGAGCACUCAGGUCCCCUACACCCUGCACAGCGCUAUGAGUAUUAGGAUUUAUAACAAAAAGUUUGCAAAUUCAUUUUUCUAAUUUUCUCUUUUUUAAAAUUACUAUUAAAGUAUAGUUGAUUUUCAAUGUUUUGUCAAGUUCUGUUGUAUAACAAAGUGACCCUGUGAUGUAUAGUAGGAUCCCACUGCCCAUCCAUUCCAGAUAUAACAUUUUGCAUCUUCCAAACCCCCCAAAAUGCCCAUCCAUCCCACUCCCUCCCCUUCCCCCUCUACCCAGGAACUCCAAGUCUGCUCUUCUUGGCCAUGAUCUGUUUCUGUUUUUGUUUGUUUGUUUUUAGAUAGAAUCAUCUGUUCCAUAUUUUAUAUUAUACAAAUAAGUGACAUCAUAUGGUAUUUGUCUUUUUCUUUCUGGCUUAUUUCACUUAGUAUGAGAGUCUCUAGGUCCAUCCAUGUUGCUGCAAAUGGCAUUAGUUUGUCUUUUUUGUGGCUGAGUAGUAUUCCUUUGUAAAUAUUACCACAUCUUCUUAUUCUCACACCUUUUUUAUUAUUAGGCAAACUGAACUUUUUCUAUGUUUAUUAUUGUAUUUGUCUUGUGCAUCACCUACUUUAUCAAGGAAAAUUUUUGAAAAACUUACUUUGAAAUAACCUUAGGUUUAUAGGAAAAGUGCAAAGACAAGACAGAAAGUUCCCAUAUACCCUUCACCCAGCUCCCAGAUUAAUGUUAACAUCUUCUAUAACCAUGAUAUGUUUGUCAAAACUGAAAAAUUAGCUUGGGUACAAUACUAUUCUCUAAACUCCAGACUUUGGAUUUCACCAGUUUCUCCACUAAAGUCCUUUUACUGUUUCAAUAUCUAAUCCAGGAUUCUACACUACAUUUAGUUGUCACAUCUCUUACUCCCCUCUGAUCUGUGACGGGUUUAGUCUUUCCUUGUUUUUCAUGACUAUAAUAUCUUUGAAGGGCACUGGUGCAGUAUUUUGUAGAAUGCCUGAUGUUUUCUCAUGAUUGGACUUGGGUUAUAAGCUUGUGGCAAGAACCACAGAGGUGACAUGUCUUCCUCCUUGCAUCAUUUCUGGGGUCACAUGAUACCAGCAUGACUUAGAACUGGGGGUGUUAAUCUUAGUCACUUGGGUAGAGUGGUGUCUGCCAGGCUUAUCAGCCACGACUUACUAUUUUCCCUUUCCACACGCUCUUCUUUGGAAAUGAGUCACUAAGUCUAGCUUACCCUCAGGGGAAAGGAAUUAAACGCCACCUACUGAAAGGGGAGCAGCAUAUAUUACCUAGAAUUCUUCUGUAAAGCAGAUUUACAGAAGAAUCUUCUUCUGUAAAGCAGAUUCUGUAAAGACCUUCUGUACAGACUCUUCUGUAAAGAAGAUUCUUAUUUCCUGUUUAUUUAUUCAAUUGUUUGUUUGUAAUAAAUGGAUUCAUGGGUUCUUUUGGCUGUAAGUCAAUACUAUUGCUGUUUAUUUUAUUCCUCUAACUGUUCGGCUUUGGCCACUGACAGCUCUUUCUAGCUGGCCCUUAUGGCCUUCAGAUAUGCCUUUAUGUUUGGUUUGGGUUUUAAGCAUUUCCUUACGUUCUGAAUUAGAAGAUAUUUCAGGUUCGUGUUGUAUUUUCCCUGCUAGCUCCAGAAUCAGCCAUUUCUCCAAGAAGCCCUGGUUCCUUUCACUGGAGAACGGUACUCAGAAACUAAGAUCUCGCAGUGGGUGUGCUCCUUGCUGACAGUGGAGCGUCACUGCUAGUGGGCAGAGCUAGGAAACAAAUAUGUGAAUCUUAACCCAAAUAUAAACACAACCUAUAUCGAUUUCUAUAUCUUUACAUGGAUUAAGCAUAUAUUAAAAAUAUAUCCCAGCCCUACCACUAACUUGGCCUCCAGACAGAGUCUUUUUCCUGUGAAAGUAAAUGAGAUGAUGUGUUCUCUGAUACACAGAAAGCACUCAAUCCGUGUUGGUUGAGUGAAUGAGUGAGUGAGGAAAGAGAGGAUUUGGGUGUAUGCUGUGGCCUCUCCCUUGUUCAAAUCCACACUCCAUCACUUACUAAAGUGGGCAAGUUACCAGGUCUGGGCAGUUGUUACUUUCUCCUCGGUAUGUUUCUCCGAUAUAGUCUAAAUUUUCUAAAUAUAAACAUGUUAUUUUUUUAAUUUUUAAUUUUUAUUUAUGUAUUUAUUUUGUCUUUUUGCCCUUUCUAGGGCCGCACCCUUGGCACAUGGAGGUUCCCAGGCUAGGGGUCUAAUAGGAGCUGUAGCCGCUGGCCUAUGCCACAGCUACAGCAACACUGGAUCUUUAACCCACUGAGCGAGGCCAGGGAUUGAACCCGCAACCUCGUGGUUCCUAGUUGGAUUCAUUAACCACUGAGCCGUGAUGGGAACUCCUGUCAUUUUAUAGUUAAUAAAAGAAAACUAUUUAAAAGGCAGCAUCUCCCACACUCUUCCUUACAGUGAAUAUUAAUAAACACUUCGGAGGGUUGCAUGGAGGACAACGAGCAUGUGUGGCACACCAGCCACAAUUUCCUGGCACACCAGAGCUGCCACUUAGUAUGUGUUGGCUGCCAUUGUCUUUCUUGUCCUUUGCUGAUCCUUCCAGAAGCCAUGUUGUGAAACUGAUGACAAAGUCUUCCUCUCUGUUUUUUCCGCCAGGUUUGAACAGGGAUGUGGCCACAGCAAGACAGUCAUCAUCAAACGAGCCCCUUUCUUUGUCACCUGGACACCCAUGUCCUCCUGCAGCGGAGGUCUCUCAGAAUACUCCUGAGUACACAUGGAGGACCCACAACCAAAGCCCAGGACUGGGCGAGCGUCUCCCAGCCCAGCACAAGGUCCUCGUUCAGCUCCAGCUCCUCUGCUCAUUUGCACUGUCCCUCUCCUGCAAUGUCACGAUCUGCACUGGAAGCCCACAGGUGACAGGGUUUGGUCCUCAGAGUAAGCAAAGCAAAGCACCAGCUCCCUGUGACCAUCUCAGUAGCUCUGGCUUCAGUUCUGUCUUUCUACCCAAGAUUCAUUCCUCUGGGGAACUUUUCCCUUCCUUUCUUCCAAGGAGCAGGAAGAAAGAGGACUUUUUACUUCCAUAUCUCUUUCCAUUUAAAAUAAAAGAGGAGUUCCCAUCGUGGCUCAGAGGAAACGAAUGUGAUUAGCAUCUAUGAGGUCACAGGUUCCAUCCCUGGCCUCCCUCAGUGGGUUAAGGAUUCGGCAUUGCCGGGAGCAGUGGUGUAGGUCACAGACACGGCUCGGAUCUGCCAUUGCUGUGGCUGUGAUGUCGGCCGGUGGCUGCAGCUCCAAUUCGACCCCCUAGCCUAGGAGCCUCCAUUUGCCACAGGAGCGGCCCUAGAAAGACACACAGAAAAAAGAAUGCAAUUAAAGAGAACCACUCAGAAGGAGAGGAAAUAUUUUGCACUUCUAGAACCAAGCAUGCAGAGAUGGUCGACCAUGGCAGCCAAAGUCACAAGUCUGGAAAAAUGUAUCAUUUUCAGCAAAAGCCAAAGGGAACUGAGGGUGUGUCAGAGAAACAAAUCUCAAAAUACUGAGCUUAUCCAAAGCAAACAAAUAGCAUUUGUCAGAGAGCUCACUUUCCACAUGAGUUAUAUCCCUUCCUAGUGGGUUUACACCCAAGCCCCCUCUUCUGUCCACACCACUUUCUAGAGAGUUACCGUGCUUUGCUUGUGCAGUACCCUGUAGGGCUGAGGGAGGGAGGGAGGGGGGACGUCCUCCUUUCCAGCUCAAGGACGGAGCGCACCCGGCAUCUCUCUCACCUGAGGCACCACUUCCACCUUCCAGCUGGUCUCCUCCCAUGUUUUCUUUACUGCAGGACUUCUCAGAGCCUUUAGUAUCUUGAUGAUCAUCCAAGAGAGAAAUACAUAAUAAUGGACACAUCCCAAACUUAUGCUGGAGGAAUCCUUUAUUCGAGGGGCAUCUACUAGCAUCUCUCUGGCCACUACAGUUCCAGAAACCCAGUUCAGCCUAUAGGAUUCAAUGCCAACUCCUCAACAGUCACUCAAGGCCUUCCAUCGUCUGGGGCUACACCUCCCAUUCCAGGCUCGUUCUCUGCCUCCCUCUUAUACUUUUCCUGUGAGUCCCUAAACAAGAUCAUCUCAUUUCAAGUUUCAGUGCCUUUGCAUAUGCUAUUCCACCAGCCUGAAAUGCUUUUCCCUACCCAUCCUCUGAGGUUGACCCUGCCAAUUCUGCGAAAUGUCCCCAGCUCCCCCAGGCUAAACACAGACAUACUGGCCUUGAUGUUCCCGCAGCUCUCUCGGCCCGCUCCCUGUUAGCAACCCGCCACCCUCGACUACAAAUGUGUUUACAACCUGCCGAUCCUUUGUUUUGCUUCUUGCUCUCUUCAGACCCAACUCCUCAGCCUCUCACCAGUUCUCUGAGACACCCAUUCCCCUUUAAUACUUUUCUUCUUUUUAAAAAAGGUAGUGAGAAUUAGGUUCUGUUGCUUACAAUCGGGAGUUCCCCUUGUGGCUUGGUGCAUUAAGAACCCAAUUAGUAUCCAUGAGGACGCAGGUUUGAUCCCUGGGCUUGGUCAGCAGGUGAAGGAUCCUGCAUGUCUCUACGCUGUGGCACAGGUGGCAGAUGCGGCUUGGAUCCCGCGUUGCUAUGGUUAUGGCAUGGGAAGAGCCAGCAGCUGCAGCUCUGAUGCAAUUCCUAGCCCAGGAACUUCCAUAUGCCACAGAUGUGGCCAUAAAAAAAGAAAAAAGGCAACCCUCCCCAAAUCUUAACCUCUCCACACCCAGGUAGAAGAAUUUUAAAACAUCUAUAGUCAAAGCAACACAUGUUGAAAAUGGCAAACAAACAAACAAAAAAAAAAAAAAACAAAAAACCUGUUCUAUUUUCAUCGGGGAUUAACGCUCAAGGGACUCCAGGGAAAAUUCAGCAUGAUUUGAGUGAUGCCUGAGGAGCUACCCGCCACGGUGACUCAGACCCUGAGGAAGCCCUUCCUGCAGCGCAGGAGCCACGUGCCCUGAGAUGCUGCUCGUGUCAGUCAAGAAGGUAGAUGCCCACGUCCCUCAGAAGCAGCAGCCCCAGCUCCACUCCACAAGCAGCCUCCUCUAGAGCUUCGGGGGCAGGCGGGGCCAGAGCAUCAACCCCUGAACUUGCCCAGGCCAUGUUCAGAAUGCCGCCUGAGAAGUCAUUUCACAAAGGUUUCCAAGAGGAGGAAUUUAUCUUCGAAGCACACGAAGCAGGAGGGAGUGCUAAGCAGGCCCGGAACCUUUGCAACGGGACUCCCCCCUCCUUUCAACACGGGGUGGGUCCAUUUCCCCUCCCCUCGAAUCCGGAUGGCCUCGAAUUUUGCUUUAACUCAAAGACCGAGGCAGAAGCGAUGCUGCGUCAGUUCUGGCCUAGGCCUUCGGAAGCCCAGCAGCUUGGGCUUCACACCCUGGGAACCCUGAGACCAUCCCUCUGGGAAGAAGCCAGGUCUGGCCUCCUGGAAAUCGAGAGCCACACGGAGGAGCACCGCCUGCCCUGAGACUCUAGGCGUGUGGGAGUGAGGAGGCUCCCUUGAGCUCCCAGCCCAGCCCUGCCAUGAGCUGAAUGCAGCUCCAGGAGCGAACCCCGCCAAGCCCAGCAGAGAGCUGCCCGGCCAGAACCGUGAGAAAUAAUAAGUUACUGUCCGGAGCUACUGAGUUUCAGGGGAGUUUGUUAGGCAGCCAUAGAUGCAAAAACAGCAGGAAGUCUCCGCAUGAAGGAGGGAACACAGACAUGCCUGGUCGUGGGGAAGAAGAUGCACAAGCAAGGCAGGUGCCCCUUUCGUGAAACCUGCAAAGCAGUGAGGUGUCAGGAACCCGAGUGACAAGACUGCUCCUAUACAGAGAGGUGAUGGGUCCACAGAAGGAGGAAGGGCCUGAGCUGGGACGCGCCUUCCUCACCCCUGCGGUAACGUGCCAGCCCGAGACCAAGGAAGGCAUUAAUGACCUACCAGC
rnacentral:lncRNA from 1 species